rnacentral:rRNA from 1 species
AUUCCAGCUCCAAGAGCGUAUAUUAAAGUUGUUGCAGUUAAAAAGCUCGUAGUUGGAUUUCUGGUCUAAUGCGCCUGGCCCGCUGCCGUUAGGUAUGUGAGUGCCGGUGCGCGUUUACCAUCCUUCCAGAGAACACUUCUACCAUUUAUUUGGACGGAUGUUGUCUUCUGGAUCUUUUACUUUGAAAAAAUUAGAGUGUUUAAAGCAGGCCUUUGCUGUGAAUACAUUAGCAUGGAAUAAUAAUCUAGGACUUCGGUUCUAUUUUGUUGGUUUCUAGUACUGAAGUAAUGAUUGAUAGGGAUAGUUGGGGGCAUUCGUAUUCCGUUGUCAGAGGUGAAAUUCUUGGAUUUACGGAAGACGAACGACUGCGAAAGCAUUUACCAAGGAUGUUUUCAUCG